AGCUCCAAUGGUGUAUGCUAACAUUGUUGCAGUUAAAAAGCUCGUAGUCGAAUUUUUAAGGGAAUCAAUUUCGUGUGGUCUUAAUGAACUACAAAGGAAGAUGAUUUAUCUUAUUUUGUACUUAUACACAGUUGGAAUUCGUUUUCUGACAGUGAAUUAAGUGUGUGUUUACUUUGAGAAAAUUAGAGUGUUCUAAGCAGUCUUACGGCUUUAUCCUAAAGCAUGGAAUGAUAAGUAAUGACAUCAAUUAAUUUCUGUUGGUUUGAGAAGUUGAUGUAAUGAUUUAUAGAGUUAGUCGGAGGUAUUAGUAUUUUGUCGUUAGAGGUGAAAUUCUGGAAUCGACAAAAGACUAACAACUGCGAAGGCAUUUACCUAGGAUUUGCUCC
rnacentral:rRNA from 1 species